UACAGAGGCCCCAAGCGUUACCCGGAAUCACUGGGCGUAAAGGAUGUGUAGGUGGUUAUAUUAGUCGUUCGUGAAAUCCUUCGGCUCAACCGAAGGAAUGCCGGGCGAAACGGUAUAACUAGAGGACGUAAGAGGUAUGCGGAACUCACGGUGUAGGGGUAAAAUCCGUUGAUAUCGUGGGGAACACCAUAGGCGAAGGCGGCAUACUGGGACGUUCCUGACACUGAGACAUGAAAGCGUAGGUAGCGAACGGG
rnacentral:misc_RNA from 1 species